GUCGAACGGUGUCUUCGGACAUAGUGGCGCACGGGUGCGUAACACGUAUGCAACCUACCUUACAUUGGGGGAUAGCCUUUCGAAAGGGAGAUUAAUACCGCAUAAGACAGUAGCUGGGCAUCCAGCAGCUGUUAAAGAUUUAUCGAUGUAAGCUGGGCAUGCGUCCAAUUAGCUAGUUGGUGAGGUAAUGGCUCACCAAGGCUAUGAUUGGUAGGGGAACUGAGAGGUCAAUCCCCCACACUGGCACUGAGAUACGGGCCAGACUCCUACGGGAGGCAGCAGUAGGGAAUAUUGGGCAAUGGACGCAAGUCUGACCCAGCCAUGCCGCGUGCAGGAUGAAGGCGUUAUGCGUUGUAAACUGCUUUUAUACAGGAAGAAACGACUCUUGCGAGAGGCAUUGACGGUACUGUAUGAAUAAGCACCGGCUAACUCCGUGCCAGCAGCCGCGGUAAUACGGAGGGUGCAAGCGUUGUCCGGAUUUAUUGGGUUUAAAGGGUGCGCAGGUGGUUUAUUAAGUCAGUGGUGAAAGACGGUCGCUCAACGAUUGCAGUGCCAUUGAAACUGGUAGACUUGAGUAAAGUAGAGGUGGGCGGAAUUGAUAGUGUAGCGGUGAAAUGCAUAGAUAUUAUCAAGAACUCCAAUUGCGUAGGCAGCUCACUUGGCUUUUACUGACACUCAUGCACGAAAGUGUGGGUAUCAAACAGGAUUAGAUACCCUGGUAGUCCACACUGUAAACGAUGAUAACUAGGUGUCGGCCGAAUCUGGUCGGUGCCACAGCGAAAGCGUUAAGUUAUCCACCUGGGGAGUAC
rnacentral:rRNA from 1 species